rnacentral:lncRNA from 1 species
AACUUGCCAAUGACAGACAUGGCCAUGAGAGCAGACCCAGCAAGAGGGUAUCCUGGUAGGACCUAUAGAUUUUACAAGGGCCCAGUUGUCUUCCCAUUUGGGUUGGGCCUAAGCUACACCAGAUUCUCGCACUCCCUAGCCCAGGGGCCUACAUUAGUCUCGGUCCCAUUCACCAGCCUCGUCGCCUCCAAAAACACAACCAUGCUAGGCAACCACGACAUCCGAGUGAGCCACACAAAUUGUGACUCACUCUCACUCGACGUCCACAUUGACAUAAAAAACAGCGGAACCAUGGAUGGGACCCACACUCUAUUGGUGUUCGCGACCCCGCCGACAGGAAAAUGGGCCCCCAACAAGCAGCUGGUGGGAUUUCACAAGGUCCAUAUCGUGGCCGGAUCAGAGAGACGAGUCAGGGUUGGCGUCCAGGUGUGCAAGCACCUCAGCGUCGUUG